AUGCCGACAGCACCAAGCUCUUCUUCUCUGAGGUCAACUCCGCUUUCCAUGGCGAGAAGGAUGUGGUCCUGUGCUGUAUCGUUGGAGAACAUGAUAACGGGCAUUGUUACGGCUGCGAAGGCUUCAAGCCAACCGUUGUUCACCCUAGCAGCCAAGCAUAUGGCGGUGGUAGUAGUACUUGCAUUGAUUUUGCUGGUUCAGACGGAGGCUCGGAGAGUGAUUAAAACGCAAAAUUUUCCAGUGGUUGAGCUCGGUGAUUGGAUUUGGCUUGCAUGCAUGGCUAAUCUUCCAAUGUGUUCUGUCUUAGCUCUUCAUAAUAAGAUAAACUUACUUUGGUGGUUAAUGCCGUUCUUAAAUAGUACUAUCUUUUAG
rnacentral:rRNA from 1 species